AGCAGCCGCGGUAAUUCCAGCUCCAAUAGCGUAUAUUAAAGUUGUUGCAGUUAAAAAGCUCGUAGUUGAAUUUCGGGAUUGACGUGAUGGUCACGCCUUAAGGGGUAUGAACUGUUACAGUUGAUUUCUCACCUUCUGGAGAAACUUGAUGUCCUUUAUUGGGUGUCUUGCGGAUCCAGGACCUUUACCUUGAAAAAUUAGAGUGUUUAAAGCAGGCAUUUUUGCUCGAAUACAUUAGCAUGGAAUAAUAGAAUAGGACGGCAUGGUUCUAUUUUGUUGGUUUCUAGGAUCACCGUAAUGAUUAAUAGGGAUAGUUGGGGGCAUUAGUAUUCAAUUGUCAGAGGUGAAAUUCUUGGAUUUAUUGAAGACUAACUACUGCGAAAGCAUUUGCCAAGGAUGUUUUCAUUAAUCAAGAACGAAAGUUAGGGGAUCGA
rnacentral:rRNA from 1 species